UCCCAAGUGGCUCAGUGGUAAAGAAUCUGCCUGCAAUGCAGGAGACCUGGGUUUGAUCCCUGGAUCAGGAA
rnacentral:tRNA from 1 species